UACGUAGGGUGCAAGCGUUAAUCGGAAUUACUGGGCGUAAAGCGUGCGCAGGCGGUUAUGCAAGACAGGUGUGAAAUCCCCGAGCUCAACUUGGGAACUGCACUUGUGACUGCAUAGCUAGAGUACGGUAGAGGGGAGUGGAAUUCCGCGUGUAGCAGUGAAAUGCGUAGAUAUGCGGAGGAACACCGAUGGCGAAGGCAGCUCCCUGGGCCUGUACUGACGCUCAUGCACGAAAGCGUGGGGAGCAAACAGG
rnacentral:rRNA from 1 species